rnacentral:rRNA from 1 species
UACGAAGGGUGCAAACGUUGCUCGGAAUUAUUGGGCGUAAAGCGCACGUAGGCGGCUUAGCAAGUCGGAAGUGAAAUCCCUCGGCUCAACCAAGGAAGUGCUUUCGAAACUGCUGAGCUUGAGUACUAAAGAGGAUCGCGGAAUUCCCGGUGUAGAGGUGAAAUUCGUAGAUAUCGGGAGGAACACCAGUGGCGAAGGCGGCGAUCUGGGUAGAUACUGACGCUGAGGUGCGAAAGCGUGGGGAGCAAGCAGG